rnacentral:rRNA from 1 species
GGUGCAAGCGAAGGAGGAGUCACAUAGGAAAAUCCGUGUGGCAAUCCAAAGGCGUGAUGCGGACCGAAUUAAAGUAGGGAAGUGUGUGAGCCAUGAAUCAAGAAAAGCCGCUAUUGUUUUUAAGAUACCCGUACCGUAAACCGACACAGGUGGAUGAGGAGAGAAUCCUAAGGCCGGCGGAAGAAGCAUUGUUAAGGAACUCGGCAAAAUGACCCCGUAACUUCGGGAGAAGGGGUGCCAACGAGAGUUGGCCGCAGAGAAUAGGCUCAAGCAACUGUUUAGCAAAAACACAGGUCUAUGCAAAACCGUAAGGUGAGGUAUAUGGGCUGACGCCUGCCCGGUGCUGGAAGGUUAAGAGGAGAGGUUAGCGCAAGCGAAGCUUUGAAUUUAAGCCCCAGUAAACAGCGGCCGUAACAAUAACGGUCCUAAGGUAGCGAAAUUCCUUGUCGGGUAAGUUCCGACCCGCACGAAAGGCGUAAUGAUUUGAGCGCUGUCUCGACAAUGCAUCCGGUGAAAUUGAAGUACCAGUGAAGAUGCUGGUUACCCGCGCCAGGACGGAAAGACCCCAUGGAGCUUUACUCCAGUUUGGUUCUGGGGUCCGGCAGUGCAUGUACAGGAUAGGUGGGAGGCUGUGAACCUGGAACGCCAGUUUCAGGGGAGCCAUUGUUGGGAUACCACCCUUGUGCUGCUGGGCUUCUAACCAGCGGCCUUUAUCAGGCCGGGGGACAAUGCCAGACGGGGAGUUUGACUGGGGCGGUCGCCUCCGAAAGGGUAUCGGAGGCGCUCAAAGGUUCCCUCAGAAUGGUCGGAAACCAUUCGAAGAGUGCAAAGGCAGAAGGGAGCUUGACUGCGACACCGACGGGUGGAGCAGGUACGAAAGUAGGACUUAGUGAUCCGGUGGUAUUAAGUGGGAAUGCCAUCGCUCAACGGAUAAAAGCUACCCUGGGAUAACAGGCUUAUCACUCCCAAGAGUUCACAUCGACGGAGUGGUUUGGCACCUCGAUGUCGGCUCAUCGCAUCCUGGGGCUGUAGUAGGUCCCAAGGGUUGGGCUGUUCGCCCAUUAAAGCGGUACGCGAGCUGGGUUCAGAACGUCGUGAGACAGUUCGGUCCCUAUCCGGCGUGGGCGUAGGAUAUUUGAGAGGAGCUGUCCUUAGUACGAGAGGACCGGGAUGGACUGACCUCUGGUGUACCGGUUGAACCGCCAGGUUCACGGCCGGGUAGCCAAGUCGGGAAGGGAUAAACGCUGAAGGCAUCUAAGCGUGAAGCCCCCCUCAAGAUGAGAUAUCCCAUUCGAAAGAAGUAAGACCCCUUGAAGACGACGAGGUAGAUAGGGCAGAGGUGGAAGUGCCGUAAGGCAUGGAGCUGACUGUUACUAAUCGGUCGAGGGCUUGCC